GUCUCUUCUCUCCAGCAACGUUGAGUUCCCAGCCAAACUUCAGCCAUGAAGAUUCUCUACCUGCUCUUUGCUGUCUUUUUCCUGGUGCUGCAAAGCUCUCCAGGAUUCACCCAGAAUUGUUCCAGGCGAUGUAUACAAAAUGGGGGUCGAUGCUACUAUAGGUGUCCCUUCGGAACUUAUUCCAUUGGACGCUGCUGUGGUCGGUUAUUUUGCUGUAGGAGGUUCCGAAAGUGAGUGAUGGCGGCAGAGAUUGCCAAUGCAGGAUCUCUGGGAAUCUGGCAGAUGACACCUUGCUUCUAAAAUCCUUGGAUCCUUUUCAUCUGGGUGGUAAAGAAUCUCACAAGUUGGAAAAAAAAUCCAUAAGGAAGCCUUGUGUCACUCACAAUAACUUGUUAUUCUCCUUUUAAUAAAAGUAAUUGGUUGCGGUGGCAUAUU